UACAGAGGGGGCAAGCGUUAUUCGGAAUUAUUGGGCGUAAAGGGAGUGUAGGCGGUUUGAUAAGUCUUCUGUGAAAUCUACGGGCUUAGCCUGUAAAGUGCAGAGGAAACUGUCAGACUUGAGUGUCGGAGAGGGCAGGGGAAUACCCAGUGUAGAGGUGAAAUUCGUAGAGAUUGGGUGGAACACCAGUGGCGAAGGCGCCUGCCUGGCUGACAACUGACGCUGAGACUCGAAAGCAUGGGGAGCAAACGGG
rnacentral:rRNA from 1 species